UAUAAAAAAAAUUAUUUUUUAUUAAAAUUUAUUUGAAAUUAAUUAAAAUAUUUUAAAUUUUAUUAUUUUUAAGAAAAAUUUAUUUUUAUUAUAGAGUAUUAGUACUGAGAAGGAAUUUAUUAAAAUUUUUAAAAGAAAAAUUUUUUUGUACCUUGUGCAUCAGGGUUUAUUAAAUAAAUAACAAAUUUUUGUUAUUCUCGAAUUUAAAAGAGCUAAAUUAAUAUAAAUUUUAUUGUGUCAUAAAUAUUUAGAAUAUUAAUUUAGUAAUGAAAUGUUAAUCGUUUUUAAAUAUAUCUAGUUUUUUAAGAAAAAAAUUAAAUUUUUUGGUUAAAUUUAAAAUUUUUAUAUAAAAAUUUUUUUAAUUUAGUUGAAAAUAAAUUAGGGGAUAAGCUUUAAUUUAUAAUGUUAUAAUUUAAGUAAAAAUUAAUAAUUUAUAGGAUUAAAAAUUUCUAUUAAUAAAAAUAUAUUAAAAUUUAUUAUUAUUAAAAUAAUAUUUUUAUUUAAUUUAGCUUUUUUAUUAAAAUAAGGAGUUUAAUUAUAUAACUCUUGAAAUAAUGAUAAAAUUAGUAUUAUGGAUAUAUAUAUAUAUAAAUAUAUAUAUAUAUAUAUAUAUAUGGAAGGAAAGGUUAAAUAAAGUAAUUCGGCAAAUAUAUUUUUCACCUGUUUAUUAAAAACAUCUCUUUUUGAAAAUAAUUUAAAGUAGGGCCUGCCCACUGAAGUAUUAAAGGGCCGCAGUAUUUUGACUGUGCAAAGGUAGCAUAAUCAUUAGUUUUUUAAUUGAAAGCUUGUAUGAAUGGUUUGAUGAGAAAAUAACUUUCUAUAUUUAAAUUUUUAAAAAUUUUAUUUUUAAGUUAAAAAGCUUAAAUUUUUUUAAUAGACGAGAAGACCCUAUAGAGUUUUAUUAUAUUAAUUUUUUAAAUUUUUAGAAUUUAAAAAUUUUAAUUUUUAAUAUAAUUUGGUUGGGGUGACUGAAAAAUUAAAUAAACUUUUUUUAUAUUAUUACAUAGAUUUAUGAAUAUUUGAUCCAUAAAAAUGAUUAAAAGAAUAAAUUACCUUAGGGAUAACAGCGUUAUUUUUUUUUAGAGUUCAAAUCGAAAAAAGAGAUUGCGACCUCGAUGUUGGAUUAAAGUAAAUUUUAGGUGUAGGAGCUUAAAAAUUUGGUCUGUUCGACCAUUAAAACUUUACAUGAUCUGAGUUUAAACCGGUGUGAGCCAGGUUGGUUUCUAUCUUUAUAUAGUUAAUAAAUUUUAGUACGAAAGGACCAAAUUUAUAAUUAAAAAUUUAUGUUUUGAAUAAAAAU
rnacentral:rRNA from 1 species